GUCAGCAGCGAUGGCACGUUGAACGCAUCGGUUCCGGACUGAUCUCUGAAGUUAAGGAACGGUGCGAGUGGUUGGCAUCCGGAUGGGUGACUAUCUGGGCAAUCAAGUUCUUUUGACU
rnacentral:rRNA from 1 species